rnacentral:rRNA from 1 species
CAGCAGCCGCGGGAAUACGAGGGGGGCAAGCGUUGUUCGGAAUUAUUGGGCGUAAAGGGUGCGUAGGCGGUUUCUUAAGUCUGAUGUGAAAGCCCCCGGCUCAACCGGGGAGGGUCAUUGGAAACUGGGAAACUUGAGUGCAGAAGAGGAGAGUGGAAUUCCACGUGUAGCGGUGAAAUGCGUAGAGAUGUGGAGGAACACCAGUGGCGAAGGCGACUCUCUGGUCUGUAACUGACGCUGAGGAGCGAAAGCGUGGGUAGCGAACAGGAUUAGAUACCCCUGUAGUCCCUGUCUCUUAUAC